AAGCAGUAGCAGUUCCACAUCUCCCUACCACCUCUUAUUUCCUACGAAGUCUUUCUGCCUGAAACUGGAAAACCCGAACUAUUAUUGAGGAAGUGAAGCCCUUCCAUUUGAAUCCUGAGAAAGACGCGCUCAAAGAACCCAGCGAACAAAGGAGAGGGUUGGAGCCCACGCAAAACAUGGGUGUGAUAAAGCCACACGCGACCUGAGCCCCCACCCUCAGUAACUACUCUCCAGCGCCCACCGGGAGGAGGGGUCCGGGGAAAGGGUAAGCCGAGGAAGGAGAAGACGCUCCGGCCAGACCGAACGCAGGAUUGGCAUCCUCUGCUUCUGCAGAAAACAUGGCUACCAACAGCUUCUGUAUCCACCUGCGGAGGAGACUGACUGCUCUGUUAUUCCCCCAGCAUCUGUGAAGAGGCUCUGACUGGCUAAAGUGUUGGUAUAGUGAUCACCCCAGGGUUAGGCAACCAUGGCUGGUGAAAAGGAAAAACGUUAUGAACCUGGCUGUGCGGAGCUACCUGAGGAAGCUUGUAGGAGAAGGGUCAGUUUGCAGAGAAAGGGGGGCCUGGGCAGAUGACGCAAGAGGUGCCCAUUACAUCCCUCUAGAGGAAGGAGUCUGUAGCUUUAGGGGAAGACAGAGCCACAAGAUGGAAGGAGCUUGGAUGUCUGAACUAUUCCAUGGAGAAAAGCUGCAGCCAACGAAGAACACCUGCAAUGGACUCUUAACCUGGGGGUGACGACAACCACUGAAAUAUGCUGCAUCUUAGUCCAGGGAUUUUUAAAGUGUGGUUCCUGGAAGAGCUGGAUCAGAGUCAUCUGUGUUGAUGGUUUAACAUAAAGAUUUUCGAGCCCCAAGACUCAAGUAGGACAAGGAAUUUGAAUUUUUAAGCAGCUCACCUGACUUGUCUGUCCUCUAAUGUCUGAAGACAUCUGACCUCUGCUCUUUCAGUAAAAGCAACAAUGGUUUUAUGAGCAUUGUCGUCACAUCUCUCCACUCAAGGGAUCCUUCUCAUUUCUCCCAGCUGAGGUCACCCACAGCUGCUGCUUCUAACUGCUGGCUUCCAGCCUGCUGUCUGCCAGCUGGCUCUACCCUCUCCUAUAACACGGCAGAGAGUAGCUGUGGUCUCCUGCGUGCUCACCCUCUGCUCCCUUGGUCCUGCUCCAUGCUUUGGUCCUGCACUUAAAUUUUACAAGCAUACUCUCU
rnacentral:lncRNA from 10 species